AGCUUCUGGGACAGCGCCUCCGCAAAUAGGUGUUUCAUGAAUGUCUUUUGAUGCUGAGAAUUUAACCCUUUCCUCUUCUGGUCAGAGCCUUUCUAGAUCUCUGGGAUCUCCUGGGUGCUGCCUCUCUGAAGAUAAUAAUCCCAACUUUUGUUUGGUCCUUGAUAAUUUGCAAAGUACAUUUGGGCACAUUAGUCUGGGCGUGUAUGAGGGUAGAGAGUGUUCCAGAUUUUCCAGUAUUGGGAGAGAUGCCUUGUGUGGGACUAGAUGUCUCCCUUGAGGGUCAGGUAAGCAGGACCAGCGCCAGAAAAGGAGGAUGUUUUUAUUAACUCCUGGGCCAGGAUUUGGAGUUGAGAGAGGACAGGGCUAGGUAGGGCUGGAUGCCAGCUUGGAGGGGAGCAAGGGGCACCCGCUGGCAUCUUAGAGAGGCAAGUCCAGGGAUCCAUAGGGUAUAGGCGGAGAGAAGAUCUGGGAGCCCACUUGCCAGGAUCGCCGGGAGGCACGCCCCGGACUCCCCCUCCCUCGGGCCUGGGACUCCGCCUGCCCAUAACCUACAUUAACUCCCGAGCGCAGCCUGGGCCCAUCUGCCGCCCCGCCCCACCUCGGUUCCCCACGCCAACCCGCUCGCGCCAGAUGGUGGCUGGGAGGGGUGGCCGUGCGUGGGGGACCCCGGAGCCCGUCUCCUCACCUCGCCCCUCCCCCAACCCACGCUCCCAACCUCUUGUUUCUCAUCCUUCCCCCCCCCACCACACCCGUCCCCCAGUCCUCCACCACCACCACCCAACUCAAAAAAAAAAAUCAGACCAUGCUCGGCAUUGGCAGCUGUUGGGCUUCUCGCCGCUCCCCCACCCUUACCGCCUCCCCCGGGUUCGCGCCGCGUCCCGGCUCCCCCCCCGCGCUGAUCUUACCGCCCGACUACAGCCAUCACCUCGCGGGCGGGCUGACAGCUGAAGCCACAGGGCCCCCGCUGCCCUCGGCGUCGCAAAGAGAGAGCUCCCCGGCACCCCUGAGACUGGGAGAAGCCGGCCCUCCCCGGUCUGCGGUCUCCGGGGAUCACGCCGGGUUCCGAGAAAGCAGCUGCGCUGCUGCCGCUUGGAGGAGUGGGGCCACCCAGGGGACCCUCUCGGGCGAGACUUGGGAAGCCGCCUGAAACUCAAACAGCUCCGCAAGCCUCCAGUUCCACCCCACAUCCCGCCUUAUGAGGCGAGGACCCGGGCCGACCCGGCCUCAGUCCCUCACCUUGAUUCUCCAGUGGCCUGAGCCAACUCUGGCGUCAGGAGAGUUCCUCCUUGCCCCAGCUGAGCGACAGGGCGCGGCCGGGGGCUUGGGGCUGCUGGGGUGGGGGGAGGCAGUGGGCGCAGGAACUGAAGCUGGACUCAGGUGAGGGGACGCGCUGGAGGCGGGGCCAGAACCUCAUUACCAUACAGCUGAGGACGCGCCCCCCUCCUACCUCCGGGACCACGCCCCGCCCUCCCCCACCUCAGGGACCGCGCGUCUGGGUCUCUGGCACGCGCCAAGCCCUGGCAGGGGGCAGAAGGGAGAAGGCACGCGCUGGGCACGCCCCCCCUUAGCUAGAGAGGGAGACGCCCAACAGGUGCACAGAGAGGGCCCCGAGCCUUAGACCCUUAGCCCCUAGCCUUGCUCAGAGUGGCCACAGAGAGGUUAACGCUUCUGCUGGCUUCCCUGCUGCGCUGGGGACGCGUGGUGGGUGGGCACUCAUAGGUUGGGGGCCGUUGAGACAAGGGCUCCAGAAGCUCCAGGAAGGAAAAGGAGAUCGGAUUUCCCUAGCGCUGGUUUUUGCAUUCCGGGCUUAAGUUCUUUUUACCUGCUUUGGAACACUAGGUAACUAGCGCCUGCUGCGGAUGCACAGCCUACAGGGACUGCCUAGUGUCUCCGCCCCCAAGACCAUCCCCGAACCACCCACUCACCUCCUGCCCCAUUACCGGGCAACCCCUCUAUCCUCCGGCGGCCAGGGUCUCAGCCCUUAACCCCGCCAUCACGGAGGACUGGUCACCUCGGCACGCGCAGAGCUGGGGGACCUAGAGGUUGGGAGCGGCACGGAGG
rnacentral:lncRNA from 10 species